rnacentral:rRNA from 1 species
UACGGAGGGUCCGAGCGUUAUCCGGAAUCAUUGGGUUUAAAGGGUCCGUAGGCGGGUUUAUAAGUCAGUGGUGAAAGUUUGCAGCUUAACUGUAAAAUUGCCAUUGAUACUGUAGAUCUUGAAUUAGUGUGAAGUGGUUAGAAUGUGUAGUGUAGCGGUGAAAUGCAUAGAUAUUACACAGAAUACCAAUUGCGAAGGCA